CCGGAAGGCACGGAAGACCCCCUCGGGCCCAGCGAUCUCACAAAAGCCUGUGUCUCCUACUACUGGCCUACCCAGGCCAGAGGCCAAUUGAGGCACAACCCCGAGACAUAGCCCACGAAGGAGGAGGGCUCGCCGUCGCACCCAGCGGCCGACCACCAGAACCCCCGCCACUCCCACAGGGAGAAAGACUCGACCCCUCAUGAAAGCCGGGUCUGUGGACCCAAGAUGUCAGCCUUGCCAC